GUGAAAACAGAGACAUAAUACCUAGUCUCCAAGUAGGUUUUAUCUUUGUUGAGAUUCAGUGAGCUAACGUCUGCACAGAAGGCUAGCCCUGCUCCAAGGAGGUGGAUUCCCUUUCCUUUUUCUUUUCCAGAUGAACCCCUCCUGGCCGUGUUUUGCAUAGGGACGCAUUUGCAGAACAAUCCUUAGCGAUACAUAGUGAAAUAAACAAACAAGUAAACAAACAAGAAAGCAAACAUUAAAACUGGGACUUUGUGGCGUCUGACCCACGGCCGCUGGGAUACGUGAACUGUAAGCCACAGAAUAUUCAGGACCUAGCACCCCGCAGGAUGGGGGAUGUGCAUCAGCCACACGUGCAGAUUGGUUCUCUAUCUCAGUUCCCCAAGCGGCUCUGGGGAUCCCCGAGACCCGCUUCCGCGUUAAGACCCGCAGCCGAGGCGGCAAGGUGUUGAGAAUGGUCUCCGAGACGAUAAACAAGCGUGAGAGGAGGAAGUGGGUGUCACCGCACACAGCCCGUGCCGGCCCGGGAACGCAGGCCGAGCUGUUUACAAAUCGGUGCCUGCAAAAAAAAAUUUGCGCUGCAAAGCUCAUUUCUUGCCGUCUGACCCCUCCCCUGGGGUGGGCCUUCCUUUAAACAAAGGACAGCUUCAGCAGCACUCAGAAACAAAUGUUUGCUUCCCCGGAGGGAGAAGGAGGGAGAAGGAGGGAGAAGGAGGGAGAAGGAGGGAGAAGGAGGGAGAAGGAGGGAGAAGGAGGCGCCCUGCGCGAUGCCAGAAAUAAGCCUUCCUCCUGUCACUUAGGAGCCUGUGGCGUCUUGUCGGCAGGAGACACCGCAGCAAGGGGACAGGCACCUGGAGAGAAUCAGAUUCCACAGAUAAUUACAGGAAGGGCAACCACAGGUCCCAGUGAGGCCAGCUGUCUGCGGGCGGUUUUCAUCGGGCUCUUUUUCACUCUAUUGACUGAUCUGCACGGAGUCAGUCUCCCCGAGGUGCCGGAAAGUAUCGCACACUGGGCGCCUUACACACAGAAAUCGAUCGCCCCACGGUUCCGGAGGCCAGAAGCCCAAGAUCGAGGCCUUGGCAGGGCUGGCUUCUUCCGAGGCCACCAGCGAGAAUUUAUUCCAUGCCUGUCUCCUGGCUUCUGGCUUCUGCUGGCAAGAUUUGACAUUCCAGAAGCAUCGUCCCGGUCCGUGUCUUGGUGGCCACGUGGUAGGCUCCCUGUCGGCAUGUCUGUGUCCAAAUCUGCCCUUUUUAUGAGGACGCCGGUCAUCCUGAAUCACUCCGGGAUGGCCUCGCCGUAACCAAUGGCACCUGUAAUGACCCUAUUUCCAAUAUGGCGACCUUCUGAGGCGCUGGGAGUUAGGUCCUGAACGUGUACGUUUGUGGGGGAUACAAUUCAACUCCUAACACCUGCUGUGUGGCACACCUUUGCUAGAAGCUGAGGGAGAGAAAGAGGUGGUGACACACAGCCUGUGCUUGGCUUACCCACAAGCCAGCCUGGAACACGGCCAGCAGGGCAUUCUGCAGCCCAGGAUACGGUUGAUGAGCGGGACAGUGGAGAUACGAGCCAAGUUCCAUGGGAGCAGGAAGGAGGGCACCUUACAGAAAUGGCAUUUGAGGACUGGGUUGAGACGUACAAUCUUUAAGUUGCUCUUUAGUGUGACGCUGAGGGGGGCUGUAGUAUCUGAGACUUGGUUUACCAGGACACAAGUUCAAAGUCCUCCCUGGUGUAUGUCUGGUCUCUCUCUGGUGCAGAACUGCAUGGCCGUUGUUAAAGCCAAUAUGCUGUGGAAUAUACACAGGCCGGUCUGGAGUAUGAAGUGGAAAUACUUGAAGUUUCAAGUAAUCAGUCACGAGAGAGCGCGCGAGAGAACGCGUGCGUAUGAGCCGAGGAGCAGAGAGAGAAGGAGAGAGAGAAUCACCGACUGUGAGACCAUGAUGUAAGCUGAAACCAAGAGCCGGACGCCUAACCGACUGAGCCAGCCCAGUGCCCCACGUCUCCAUUCUAUGUGGGGCUCGCAACGCCCUGCAGAAGGUAGGGUACCUCUGAACGGUGGCCAGUUCGGUUGUUUCACCCUAUGCAGCUGGGGACUUGGCUCCGAAAUUCCAUUGCCGUGUUCUGGCACAACACACAACCACUUCAACCCUUCUUCCUUUUCUCUUAGAAAGGCUGGGGCUGUGUUCUUGCAAAAACACAAUUUCGGGUGGUUCCUGCCAUGAGCUAGGGAGGCAGAGCCGAAAAGGCUUCGGUGUCAGACUGGUGUGGGCUCAGCUCUUGGUUCCCACACUCAGUGGCUUGGGGAUCUUGGGGACGCUACUUAACCUCUUGAAGGCCUAGUGUCCUCAGCUGAAACAUGGUACCAGUGCCACCCGCACCACAGGGUGACGUAGUGAUUGAGAGAGACACUUGCCGUAUGCCGUGCGAACGUCUGUCCUCUUCCUCUGGGUGAAAAGCCACAUGGCCUCAGUUUGGCUCAGGUACACCAGCCCAGUCAAGAUCGCAGCAAGUAAGCUAGGAACACUGUGAUCAACAAACCCGAUAAAGGUCAAACUUUCCAAUCGGCGCGAACCAUCACGUAACAGACAGAGUGCCCGAGGGCUGGCCUGUCUCCCCCUCUGGCCUGGUUUCUGGAGCCAGGCGACAAUAGUGAUCGCAGAACUGAAACAAAACAACAACGUGGGCAUGUUGUCCAUAUCGCUUUGGAUUUAUAAUGAAGUAUUGGCACUGGCACUAA